rnacentral:rRNA from 1 species
GACGAACGCUGGCGGCGUGCCUAAUACAUGCAAGUCGAGCGGAACUGGGGGAGCUUGCUCCUUCCAGUUUAGCGGCGGACGGGUGAGUAACACGUGGGCAACCUGCCCUGCAGAUCGGGGUAACUCCGGGAAACCGGUGCUAAUACCGAAUAGUUUGGCGCCUCUCCUGAGGCGCCACGGAAAGACGGUUUCGGCUGUCACUGCAGGAUGGGCCCGCGGCGCAUUAGCUAGUUGGUGGGGUAACGGCCCACCAAGGCGACGAUGCGUAGCCGACCUGAGAGGGUGACCGGCAACACUGGGACUGAGACACGGCCCAGACUCCUACGGGAGGCAGCAGGAGGGAAUCGUCCGCAAUGGACGCAAGUCUGACGGAGCAACGCCGCGUGAGUGACGAAGGUUUUCGGAUCGUAAAACUCUGUUGUGAGGGAAGAACACGUACCAACUAACUAUUGGUACCUUGACGGUACCUCACCAGAAAGCCACGGCUAACUACGUGCCAGCCGCCGCCGUAA